rnacentral:rRNA from 1 species
CUACAGGAAUGCUUAUUGCACCACAUGUGUUUUUCUUUGAAACAAACUUGCUUUGGCGGUGGGCCCAGCCUGCCGCCAGAGGUCUAAACUUACAACCAAUUUUUUAUCAACUUGUCACACCAGAUUAUUACUAAUAGUCAAAACUUUCAACAACGGAUCUCUUGGUUCUCGCAUCGAUGAAGAACGCAGCGAAAUGCGAUACGUAAUAUGAAUUGCAGAUAUUCGUGAAUCAUCGAAUCUUUGAACGCACAUUGCGCCCUCUGGUAUUCCGGAGGGCAUGCCUGUUUGAGCGUCGUUUCUCCCUCAAACCGCUGGGUUUGGUGUUGAGCAAUACGACUUGGGUUUGCUUGAAAGACGGUAGUGGUAAGGCGGGAUCGCUUUGACAAUGGCUUAGGUCUAACCAAAAACAUUGCUUGCGGCGGCAACGUCUACCACGUAUAUCUUCAAACUUUGACCUCAAAUCAGGUAGGACUACCCGCUGAACUUAAGCAUAUCAAAGCCGGGAGGAA